UCGCCGAGGAGGUGCUCUGCCGACACAAUCUACCGAAUGAGACCUGGAGGGGCCCCAAGGUAAGGGGAAUGAGAUGCUGAUGGGAUCUCAGCCCAACACACGGAAGCAAGAGAAGUGUGGAAUCUGCAAUUUACAUUCAUCGCUCUAAAUCCUAGGGUUCCCAAGCUAGCCUGGCCAGGGUGAGAGGUUGAUUGGCAGGAGGCCUCCUCAGGCUGCCCCGCCUCCCAGCCUCAAGCCUCCGGAACAGGGUCUGCUCAGACAACAGGCCUCACGGAGGAAGCAAGCCUGAGGACACCAGCUUAACCUUGACAGCUCUGUCUCCACCAAGAUGUCAACUCCCUGUCUUGUCUCCACAACUACUAGCUGAGGGGAGGUAAGCCUACGUGUAAAAAAAGGCACCUCGGAGAAGGAAGAGCAGGCUGGACCUGGAGUCUGAAGACUAUAACCACAGCUAACAUUUACUGAGCACUUACUAAGUGCCCGGCCUUCGGUGAAGGACUCAACAAGGAUGAUCCCACACGAUAACCUUAUGAAGUAGGCACUGAUAUCAUCCCCACAUUACAGCUGACAAACUGAGGUUUGAAGAGGUUAAGUGACUUCCCCAAGGUUCCUGGAAUGUAUUGGAUGGUGGCCUCCAAAAAAAGACAGAAAAGAAGACAGAGUGAAGCCUCGGGAAGACGGAGGCAGAGAUUGGAGUGACGUGGCCACAGGAAGUGCCAACCACCACGGGAAGCUGGGAACAGCAAGGAGUGGAGCCUUUGAAGGGAACACGGACGGCCCUGCCAGCACCUAGAUUUCGGAUUUCUGGCCUCCAGAACUGUGAGGCCAUCAUGGAGCUUUUGGACCUCACCGCAGAUGUUCUUCUGAGUCGAAUCUUUCCAGAGCUGGGCCUUCCUGCCUAUCACACCGUGUUCAGUACUGCCUCCUAAAGUCACUCUGAGUUGUGUCUCCAGGAAAUGAGAGGGUGUCCCCACCUUGUCCCGCACUCACCCUCCAUCUUUGCACGUGGGGGCACUCCUUCCCUCACAACAGUGCCCGUGGGAGCAACCUAAGAAAGAGCCAACCUAUAUGGGAUUUGGAUGUCUGACCUUGGCCAAUUAGUACCUUGCUCGGUGUAACCAACCGAGUCACAGAUUCAAUUCAAUUCAGCAAACAUUUAUCAAGCCUCUCAGCGCCAACCGAUUCCCGUCUGUUCUAGAAGUGCAACGAAGCUCAGCCUUG